rnacentral:rRNA from 1 species
AUGGAAGGUGAAGAAAAUGAGUAUGAUGUUGAAGGAAAUGGGCAUCUCAAUCAGCCCAUCACACGGUUUCACUUCAACGCAUUACGUGAUCAUCUACGCCGAGAGUUCAGAAACAGCCUUGACCCAAUUGAAGAGAAGCAAGACAGGUUGUCGAGAGAUUUGCAGCAACUUAUGGGUAAUGUUGAUGAGCAACUCACUCAGAACAUGGCAGCCAUGAGGACUGGUAUUGUUGCUGAUAUUGUGCGAGAGCUUUGUCAGAACUGAGAAGAUGCAAGUGUCCAUGGUGAAGAACAAAAUUUAACUGAUGGGGAAGGUGCUGCCUCCAAUGCACAAGCUAGAAGAAACCAUGCUCCUGCUCCCCAUGCCAUGAGACCUCCCAGUCCUGGACAUGGAAAUGAUCAUGGUAAUGGACGUGGUCAUCAUGAAGCUGCUGCUGGUCGUGGUCUUAGAGGAGGCCACUGAAGAUCAAAUCUGCACCAUGAAGGUAGUGGAGAUGAGUUUGAUGAAGAUGAAGAUGGCAUGCACCAUAAUGACAGAUUUCAUCAUCGUAGAAACUAUGGUCGUGGACGGCAGGAGGAGGAGAGGUUU